GGGGCUUGUGGGAGGAGGAGGGGGGGUGAUCAGAAGAGUGUGGAACUCCUGCUGCAUACCCACAGAAAAGCAAUGACAUCUCCAACUCCUGACUACAACCAUAAGUUUGCAUCCCUCGUCACAAUCUCACUCACACGCAUGCACACACACACACACACAGAUAAAAAAAACAAAAAAACAAAGCUACUGAAACCUGCAAGACUGCCAGGCAUGGAUAUGUCACAGGCUCCAUCUUUCGGCCUGACGUGUAAAGAAAGACAGCAGAGCCACACCGUGGGGGCCUACCCAGCUGAGUGAACAACAGUAAAUUCUCACAAUAGUUUCUAAUCAAGAAUCAACGUUUUUUCAUGCUCUUUUUUUUCCACUUCUCCACUCUCACUUGUUAAAACAUUACAUCUCUGUGAAGCUCAGGCAACUGCAUCAGACAAACCGUGGACGAAGUGGAAAAAGAAAAAAAAAGUAAUAAAAAAAAAGUAAGAGCGUCUCUCGCCUUGUUUUGGCACAUUUACCCCCCACGUUUGUAAGUUAAAACAAACACAGAAAUGAUGGAAAUAAUCAACAAGAUGCAGGGGGUAUGCGAAUAACGAGACAAAACAAACCGAACUCCCCCAAAACAAUAAAUAUGCUCUCGUUACUGGUCAGCUUUGUGAAGUUUUUUAUGGCCGUGUUUAUGGCAUGUGAGCUGUUUUGGGUUUCCUGCGGCCUGUGAUCACUUAAAACCACCAAUUAGAUUUUAGUGCGAAUCGUUCCGUACUAAACAAAGAAAGUGUUUCAUUAAAUUUCACAGCUCUGCGAGCGACGUGGAGAAGCCAAUAGAUUUACACCAAGUGUGGUUUGUAUUUGGUUGUCUUCUGUCACCCAACAAGCAUUUUUUGUCUUUUUUCGCUUUUGGAGGGUGACCUCUAAAAAAGCUCUCCAAUUUGGGUAAAAAACAUGAACCAAUGUCGAAGCACAUUUUCUGAGGAAAAACUCAGGGGAGGCUCGCAAACACAAGCUGAACAGUGGCGGAGAGCAUCUCUCAGCCUCGAGCCGACACAUCAAAACACUGCACUGUGUAGGUGUGCAGUCCCAGAGAUACAGGUAAAAGAAGUAUAUGUGUGUAUGGAGGGGGGGGGGGGGUCUUGUUUUUCAACGCGUGUCAGGCAAAGCAAUAUAAAGUGCAUAUUAUCAUUAAGAUAAUGCUUCAGAUCAUGCUUAUGGGUUGCUGAUGACAGACAGCACUGCCAGGGCCAGGUACUACAGCCCCGCAUGGUCGUGUUUAUGGUCGUGGUCACACUAUGUAGAAAAUCAUGAUCGAAAGAGAGAUAUGCAAACUUAUGCUGAGGUGAGUACAUUCAUGGACAAUAUCUGGGUUUUAGUGUUCAAAAACAGUAGCUUCAAACCCAUUUUCUUCAAACAGUUCAUAAACAGCUAUAGAGAAAUAUAAAUAAACUGUUUUUAAAAAAAUUAUAAAAAAAACAUCUUAGUUAUUAUUAUAUUUGUUCAAAUGUUCCACUCAUGUCUAAUGGUAUUAAUGCAUUAACAACCGUGUUUUCAGGAAACACCGCCACUUCUCCGAUCUAUGUUAGUGUUUAGAUUUGAUGGAUUACUGUACCUCCCAGCUUGGGUUUAGCAAAAAACAAUGUUUUGGAAAGAAAAUCUCUUAAAAGUAAUUUGAAAACGCUCUACCCUUGUUGGCAUGCAAAGAUUUGUCUUCAAAAUGAACAACACACACUGCCUAAUCAUCAUCUUUUUUUUUUUUCUAUGAUUUUUCAGUCUUUGUCUUUUUUUUAAGUUUGUUUUCUUCACGCUUCACUGUGAGAUCAUGCAAUAUAGACGUGCAAAAAAGAUAACAUCUAUUUCCACAAAAUACAAUUUCAGAACUAUAAAAUGCUGUAUUAAGAAUGCUGAUAAAUUAUUCGACUUAAACCAUGCAAACCUAACUACAUGGCAGUCCUUCCGUCCCGAUACUUUAGCAAUCAUGCUAGCUAGCACUGAACGCCGUUGUUUGGCUAACAAGAUGGCUACCCUCUCUCUACUGAUUGCUUGGGGGGAGCAAAAACUUACAACUAAACAGCAAUUAUGUUAAUCAAACUCUUAUUAUUUGAAAAAGACAACUGAUACCUCUGAAUUCCCCUUCUAAUUAACUUACAAAUGUGGUUCAUUUGGCACUUUUCACAUUUUCUUACAAAAGUUAGUUCAAUCUAAUGGUUAAAUCACACAUUUACAGGUUCAGGAUCUGUAAAUAGCUAUUUUGGCACAGGUUAAUUAAUCCGUUUUUAUUAUUACAGUUACCUUUAUUAGUAUGCAAUAUUAAUUACACCUUUCGGAACUAGAACAUCCUUCUAAAUGUUGAGUCAGAUAUGUUUGUUUUUUUUACUUCAUUUUUAGUACAUCACUUAUUAAAUAGCAGCAUCUUCACAAAUUAAAAAAUAGUACAUAUGUAAACCUAUUCAACAUCUAUGUAAAUCCAAAGCUCCUACGACAGACGCAAUAAAAAGACGAGACAGGACGACAUGCUACUACGAAUAUUGCUUCCAGUACUCAAGACGUGUCUUUCUCCCCUUAAAAAACAAAAAGUGGCCGCCCCAUUUCCCCGCUUCUUUAGGGUGCUUUUAGCACUACACAUAUAAAAAUACAAAGCUGUUCCUUUGCUAUGCUUUGUUGGCACCUAAUCUAUAGCUGACCAUCGUAUUUUUUUUUUCACAUUUUAAUGUCACAGUUGUAAUAUCCAGUUCUCCGCAAGUCACCAGAUCUGCUCCUCUUUUCUCCUUCAUUUUCAAAAAUUCUCUCAGGGAAUAUGUGUGUGUGUGUGUGUGUACUAUAUGUCAUGUUUGUGUUUGUGUGAGUGUGAGAGUGUGUGUGAGUGAGCAUACUUUCAGCUGUCUAAGAGAAGCUAUGGAGGACAAGGUCUGAGUCCCCACACGAAUUCAGUCCUUGCUUACUGACCUGCACCUUCUCCUGAAGUCCUAAAUACCUCUGAAAUGUUUGAGGUCAAUCCCGAAAUCGCAUUGCCAAAUAAAGACCAUUGUUAGUCCGGUUUUUAAAAGUGGCAUGCGCUCAACUAUUUCCUAAACAUAUCAACUACAGUAAGCAUGCCAGCAGUUAGAUCUCAGUGUGUCCUGCUUGAAACCUGAGACACUCCUGUGUUAAGCGUGCGCCUGUGAGUACAGUCCGGAGUGGAGAGCGCAUGCUGCCAGUUCACUCCGUCCGAUCCUGUCAGCCAAACUAUUCAUCAAGCAACAGGGAAUCUUUUGAAACAUCUGCAGCCUCCGCCCUAACCAAGUCCUCUCCUCUCCUCUCUACUCUCAUCUCCUCUCCUCUCCUCUCCUCUCCUCUAUACAAACUGCAUUUCCAGACCCUCUUUGUUGUUUUCUGCUUUCUCGGGUAUCAUUGUUGAUUUGUGGGAGGGCAAACAGUCAUGCAUUGCGACACCAGACAUCCUCACCCAUACGGAGAUGUGAGAGAGGGUAUCUCAGGAUUGAUGCGUCAGAAUGGGGGGAGGGUGGGGGAGUGCACAGAGUUACAGAGAAGGACUGGAGUGUGUGUGGUGGUGGGGGGAGGGGGGGGGGGGGGGGUGGUGAGGGGACGUGGAUGGCAUUAAAUGGGAAGAAAGAAGCCUCCUUACCCAAUCGGUCGAGAUAAACACUCACUGGCGCUCCAAGGGCAGUGGUGACAGAGAAAUUCAUAGCUUUUUUUUUUUUAAAAGAGAUCAUUGUUGAGAAAGACAGCACCAUGUCAGAUUCAAUUCAAUUGAAUUAUCCCCCCCCCCCCCCCCCCCUUGAUGACGGUCACUGUUGAAUUCCAAUCGGACAGAAAUGGACUUGAUGGGCCAGACUACAUAAGCAGUCUGGUCAGAGAAGGGGGGGGGGUGAGAAUGCUCUUGGCCUAGUCAGGUCCAUCACUCAUAAUCUAGGGUGACUGCGUUUUUUUUAUGUAUUUGGCUUUUUGUUCAGCAGGACAUGUCAUGGUAGAUCUCAGUGUUUGGGAGACUAAACGGGGGCUUGAUGGGGUUGGACUGUUUUGCCACACAAAGUGUCAACCAAUGUUAAAAACUGGCUUUGCUGAGCUGGGCAAAAAGUCGGCAUUCGCAUACGUCAACAGACCUACAUGUUUCGUCGAGGAGAAACAUUAAUCUCGAGGUGAGCAUCCACCUCUUCCAUUCUCUAGCUUUCUCUCUGGCACAAGCAAGGUUUAUGGUCUUUUAAUCGCUAUCAUUUCAAAGAUGUAAUUCCAGGAUCAUGAUUUGUGAUCAAAAGCUGGCGGAUGUAAUGUGGUCAACUAUGAAAGGGAAAAAAAAACGAACAAACCUACAAACAAACAAAAAACGUAUUUGAUGCUAUAGAACACGUUAUCCUAGGAACCCGGUCGACAAUCCUCUCAACUGUGCCCUUGUCGUUCUGCGGCCAAAACUUGUAACUACCGAUGGCUGGCCCCGACUGCGAAGUAAACAUUCUCUGUCUCGCUCGUCCUCUGGUAAAGGCAUGCCAGGGAUGCCUGAUUCACCAUCCGCCAUCUAGUGCCUCCUUAUGUUCCCCCCACCAUGGGUACAUUCCCCUUGAUGCCCAAAAAGUCUUUGAUACAGGACCCUGCCCUUAUUUUCAUUUCAUUUUAUUUCAUUUAAAAAAAAUUGUUUGGCCCGAAUAAACGGCACCCAUAAUUCACAGUGCAUUAAGACGAACUUCAGUGUACUCCGACAGUUUAACAAAAAACUAAAAAAAAAAAGAUAAAACAAAUAAACAAACAAACAAAACAAUAACAGCAACAACAAAAAAAAGAAAAGAAAGGAGGUUCAGCAGCAUGUGCAUGUUGCGUAGAGGGGCUUAUGCUCGGGGAAACAUAGGAUGGAGAGGCCCCUACAGGUUCCCACAGCCAGUGCCAAAAGGCUGGGUGCUUGUUUUCCGAGUCAAAUGAUAUGUUAAAGUUGGAGACAAUACCGCUUUGGACUACUGACCACUCAACUGACCACUCUGACCACUGAGGACAGGGAAACUGCAGGAGCAAGUGACUGUAGGAACCACGUCCCUCCCACCUUAAAACGACACCCCAUGUUCGUUUGCUGUUAAUAUAUUUGUUCUUUGCUCUUUCUGCAAACUUUUAAUGUUUGUUCGUUGCAGUAGUGCUCGUCCUCAGAAAGUCACAAUUUUCAGCUUGAAGCACUUAAUCUCCAGAACGAGUUUACUGAGAGAAAAAGCCAACGUCUACUUUCCACUUAGUGUGGACGUCAGGGGAGGGGAGACCUAUCCUUCAGGAGAUCAAUAGAAAAAAAAAAAAAAAAGAAAGAAAAAAAACGAGACAAAAGAAAAAUACAAAAAAUAAAAACCUGGGGAGCUGAAGUUGAAAGGAUAUUGCAUUUCUUUUUGUUCUUGGUGCAAUCGAUUUCUAACCGUGCAUUCAGAGACUGCACUAAUGCCUGUGAUAUGAUCAAUAUUCUCAUUUUGCAGAUGUUUGCAAUAAGCCUUCUCCUAUCUCAUUCCUAUAUGUAGUCAAGAUAUGGUGUUUUCCCUUUUUGAGCACCAAUUCUAGACAUCGGAUAGUUUGUUCGUGAGAGUGUGUGUGUGAGUGUGUGUGCGAGUGUGUGAGUGUGUGUGUGUGUGUGUGUGUGUGUCCUCUCCCUCUGUAAUGUCUUGAUGCCACAAUGGAUGCCAGUGCUGGCCCCUGCGUUUUGUUUCUGACUCACCGGUGCCAACAGUGCACUUAUCACUGGACUUAAAUAAGACAUAUAUUACACUAUGACACACACUAUUUAAUCCACUUAAAUAAAAAAACAACUAAAUUAAAAAAUAUUGUCUUUACAUUCAUGUCAACCUGAAUUCACAGAUUAAGAAUAAAAUGAGAAUACUUCAGUCCUUAUGGGUGAAAUCAUAUUAAUAAAUAAUGUUGAUGGCGAUGAUAAUCUGUGAUGAUAAUAAUAAUAAUAGUAAUAAUAAUAAUAAUAAUAUCCCUUAUGCCAGACUGCAAGACCCUGUAGAGAAUAUGCCACAAUCUCUAUGUGUUCUGGUGCUACCUUUAGAUUCUGACCCGACAAGGUGCAUCUCCCGCCCCUUGGCAGGUGUGCAUUCCCAAGCAAAGGGUCUUAAUGCAACCACAACAGAGAGAGUGAGAGAGAGAGAGAGAGAGAGAGAGAGAGAGAGAGAGGCAGGGAGAAAGAGAGAGAGAGAAAGAGAGAGAGAGAGAGAGAAACAGACGAAUGACAACGUGCACCUGGUCAAAUCAGAACCGUGUGGAGAGGCGGGAGAAAUAGGCAGAGAUAGAGAGAGUGAGAGAGAGAAGCCCUUGUGAAGGGAAGUGUUUUGGGGGCAGCCUCUCCCCUCUCUCCGGUACACCUGCCACCCCCUCUCCCUCCCCAGCACUCCCAGCCCAGAACUGAGAACGGGGUGGCUGAGAGUGUGUGUGAGGG
ensembl:lncRNA